rnacentral:rRNA from 1 species
AUUGAAUGUUGGCGGCAGGCCUAACACAUGCAAGUCGAGCGAGCGGCGGACGGGUGAGUAAUGUAUGGGGACUGCCCGAUAGAGGGGGAUAACUACUGGAAACGGUGGCUAAUCCCGCAUACUAUCGGAUAACCCCAAUGGGAUUAUCUAGGAGGUGGGGUAAAGGCUCAACUAGGCGACGAUCUCUAGCUGGUCUGAGAGGAUGAUCAGCCACACGGUGACUGAGACACGGCCCAGACUCCUACGGAGGCAGCAGUUGGAAAUAUUGCACAAGGGGCGCAAGCCUGAUGCAGCCAUGCCGCGUGUAUGAAGAAGGCCUUAGGGUUGUAAAGUACUUUCAGCGGGGAUGCGUUACCAGCAGAAGAAGCACCGGCUAACUCCGUGCCAGCAGCCGCGGUAAUUC